UACGGUAGGGUGCAAGCGUUGUCCGGAAUUAUUGGGCGUAAAGAGCUCGUAGGCGGCUUGUCACGUCGACUGUGAAAACCCGGGGCUCAACUCCGGGCCUGCAGUCGAUACGGGCUGGCUUGAGUGCGGUAGGGGAGACUGGAAUUCCUGGUGAGCGGUGAAAUGCGCAGAUAUCAGGAGGAACACCGGUGGCGAAGGCGGGUCUCUGGGCCGUAACUGACGCUGAGGAGCGAAAGCGUGGGGAGCGAACAGG
rnacentral:rRNA from 1 species